rnacentral:lncRNA from 1 species
GUUGAUUUGAUCCGUAGUUUUGAGGGGAUAUAUUUGAUUACGGAUAUUAACGGAAAAUAAGGAAUUGUAAGUAAACCUGCCAUUAAUUUCAAAUCAAGCAAACUAAUCAGUAUUUCUUCAACAUUUUCUCCCUCAUUCCACUUGUUGCUUGAAACUCAUAUUCGACAUCCAAUCAUUCAAAAUUGUCCUUGGGUUGAUAUAAUUUUGAGAUUUAAUUUUAUCCGGGGUAUUCAAAAAAGCAAAUGAAAUUGAAAGAAAUGAUAUGAAAAGUUUCAGGAACAAGAGAGAAUUGGAGCCCCACCGUGGGAGGCGAGGCUUUCAAAAAUUGACGUGCACGUCCACCGAAGUAGGGUGGAACUAGCACGUACGAAAAGCGUGUUCGAAAUAAUAGGUGUUGGCACGACCCGCCGUCUCUAUACGAUCAUUGACGAGUCAUCC